rnacentral:rRNA from 1 species
AGAGUUUGAUCCUGGCUCAGAAGGAACGCUGGCAGCGUGCAUAACACAUGCAAGUCGAACGAUGAAGCAUUCUUCGGAAUGUGGAAGAGUGGCGAACGGGUGAGGAACACGUAAGAAUCUGCCCCUCGGUCGGGGACAACUCUUGGAAACGAGAGCUAAUACCCGAUACGCUGUGGAGUGAAAGAAUUUCGCCGAGGGAUGAUCUUGCGUCUGAUUAGCUAGUUGGUGUGGUAAUGGCACACCAAGGCGACGAUCAGUAGCUGGUCUGAGAGGAUGAACAGCCACAUUGGAACUGAGACACGGUCCAAACUCCUACGGGAGGCAGCAGUGGGGAAUUUUCCGCAAUGGACGAAAGUCUGACGGAGCGACGCUGCGUGAAGGAUGACGGCCUGCGGGUUGUAAACUUCUUUUCUCGAAGAAGAAGCUCUGACGGUAUUCGAGGAAUAAGCAUCGGCUAACUCCGUGCCAGCAGCCGCGGUAAUACGGAGGAUGCAAGUGUUAUUCGGAAUGAUUGGGCGUAAAGCGUCUGUAGGCUGUAUAGAAAGUCUUUUGUUAAAUGCCUCGGCUCAACCGAGAUCCAGCAAAGGAAACUUCUAUACUUGAGGGAAGUAGAGGUACAGGGAAUUCCCGGUGGAGCGGUGAAAUGCGUAGAUAUCGGGAGGAACACCAAUAUGGCGAAGGCACUGUACUGGGCUUUACCUGACGCUCAGAGACGAAAGCUAAAGGAGUGAUUAGGAUUAGAUACCCUAGUAAUUUUAGCCGUAAACGAUGGAAACUCACUGCCGAGC